UGUUUUAUCCUUAAAUUGAAAAGGUUUAUAAAAUUUAAACUUGCUUAUUUUGGAGCAUCAUAUCAGUGUUUGCACAUACUAGGUUUUCAAAUGAAUUAAGCCUGGCCCCCAGCCAGUGCUGCAGGAGAGAAGGAUAGUCCUGCACUGCCCCCCUGGCCCAGGGCCCCCCACCCUGUGUCCAGCCACACAGCUGUGAGAGCAGGGAGUCGGUACACAGCACAAGAAAAAAAA